rnacentral:rRNA from 1 species
UACGUACCGUCCAAACGUUAUUCGGAAUCACUGGGCUUAAAGAGUUCGUAGGCGGCCCAGAAAGUUGGGUGUGAAAUCCCUCGGCCUAACCGAGGAAUUGCGCUCAAAACUACUGGGCUAGAGGGAGAUAGAGGUGAGCGGAACUGAUGGUGGAGCGGUGAAAUGCGUAGAUAUCUGCAGGAACACCCGUGGCGAAAGCGGCGCGCUGGACCACAACUGACGCUGAGGAACGAAAGCUAGGGGAGCAAACGGG